CACGUAGGGCGCAAGCGUUGUCCGGAAUUAUUGGGCGUAAAGAGCUCGUAGGCGGUCUGUUGCGUCCGCUGUGAAAACCCGGGGCUUAACCCCUGGCUUGCAGUGGAUACGGACAGACUAGAGGUAGGUAGGGGAGAAUGGAAUUCCCGGUGUAGCGGUGAAAUGCGCAGAUAUCGGGAGGAACACCGGUGGCGAAGGCGGUUCUCUGGGCCUUACCUGACGCUGAGGAGCGAAAGCGUGGGGAGCGAACAGGAUUAGAAACCCCUG
rnacentral:rRNA from 1 species